UCCAGGUGUUCUGCCGGCUGGAAGAUAUUUAAAUCCACAAGUUGGCUCUGCGGCCAAAAUAUUACUUCCAAUAAUUCUCUCCUGAAGAAAUUUCCCAGGACAGGGACUUUCGAGGCUGAUCUAUUACGGCGCCCGUAAUCGAAAUAGCAGGUGAACACGAGAUGCUACGGUUUGGGGGAACAACUGCUCCAGCAGUGACAAGUCGUAAGCUCACAUCUGCCUCCCAUUCCAGAAGUAAACCCGUGCACAGAAAAGUCCUCCAACUGUUUCUACAUGUCCCCUCCUCAGUUGAGAACUAAUUUUCCCCAGUGUGUUGAGAAGCAUACUGCCUCCACCAAAGCACCUACACAAAGUCACAUGUGAAUCUUCAUCGUACAAGAACCAUAUGCACUCUGAGGAGGGGAGAUGGUGAAGAACCAGAAUAUAACAAGAACACAGGCACUUGACCCCACGAGAGAAGAGAGUGUCUGUGGUUCUGAGGAACUAUUUCUCUGUGUUAUGAGGAGAACUUUGGCUCAUCCCUCACUUGAUGCUUCUUUGUGUUGAAGGAAAAAAAACAAAAAACUUGUUAAUGAAGACCAGUGAAGCAGCUACGUAGUGUGGAGGCACGCUAGGCAGUGUAAAGACACAGGCACCAGAACUGCCAACGCCUGUGGGCAGACAGUGGCCUCGGAAAGGUUCAUGGCCUUUCUGGUGUGGAACUCAGAAUCAGAAAGCUCUGGGUCUGAUUCUGGUCUUUCUAGUUACCACCCUAUGAUGUUGGGCCAUGGUACAUUUUGAGUGACAGCUCCCUUGUGGCCAAAUGACAGUACCUGAAGGAUUUGAUGUCCUAUCGAAGGUGGUGAACGCAUUACACCGGUAGUGUUACAACUGCAGCCCCAGCAUUCUCUGAGACCAGCGCUUUCUGUAUCUGAAAGAGGGGCAAUUAUACUUGCUUCUGCUGCUUCACUUUCCAAACAGUACCAUUUCUGGCAAGUGAUGUGUAUGGAUCAGCACUUUAUAAAAUGUGACGUACACGUAAGAACACAAGGUUACUGCAAUGACAACUUGGGAAUGAGCUGCCUAGUCCUGCUUGUCAUUAGAAGUAACAGGGAUAUAUUAAUCUUCUUGAAAAAAAAUUUGAAUAACAAUCAAUUCCUAAUGGUCUUCAUAUCCAGCCGAAGAAAACAAACUGUUCUAUACAUUCUUGGAACCCGAGUUCUUUUUUCCAUAACAUAAUUGGAACCCCUAAGGAUUCAUUUAGUUCACGGUCUAAAGAAAAAACAACAAAGCUGAACCAAAGGGAAGGCUGGUUUCACGGACUGUCCACAAGAGUGGGGAAUUGGCCCUACAGCACAAUGUAAUAAAGAGGCUUACAAAUUGAGUCCUCCGGGAAGGAUACAACUAUAUUUGUUGCGUGUGGGUACCAGAGCAGAGGAGUUUGCCUCUUCUGUUCUUUGAGUGCCACAUGAAUAAAUUUGUAGACUGUCAUUCCCUUUAACUCAAAACACUGGUGAACAAACAGCUGGAGCAAAGCCACUUGAGAACAUGACAAGCCACAGCACUCAGAACACUGCCAAUCUCCCAUUGCUCAAACAAGUCCUUUAACUACAGACCUAACUGGGAGUUUUUGUUGUUUACUAGUGCUUGACUUAACAGAACCCAAGAGAGUUGGGGUGGGGAGAGAUGGUAGAGAUCAUUCAGAUGCCCCCUCCCACAUGGUGGGGGUCUUUUUUACCCCAUUAUGUACAAAGGCCUAACAUUUCAAGGAUGAGAUUACUCUGGGCUUGGUGACAAAUGCCAGAGGUAGCACAGUCCCCUGCUCUAAGGUUUCCAUAAAGGGCUUCCUCCUGGAGCAAUACCACAGUCUUUCCAGUCUCCUCUAAGGAGCCCAAGAAGGAUUCUUUCUUUACGCUUAUUUUAUGUAAUUUCUUUCAAAAUUUCACGAAUGAAUGCCGUACUUACAUUACCUCCACCCAUCCCCUUCCUCUCCAAUUCCACCCUCCCGGUCUCUCUCAAAUUCAUGACUCUCUAGUUAUUACGGUUACAUUUCUGUGGCGCUGAGGACUUGGCUUCCUUCUCUCUUACACAGAGCAGAGUCAUCAGAUGACUUCUGGCUUCAGAAUGCAUAAUUCUCUGCAAGACAAGGCCUGCUGCGACCCGGCUGCCUGCUCAACUCCAGGAACAUUUAACCAGGGACGAGAAGAAGAAGAAAAGCAAGGGCCAUGCCCCCAACAUGGUUCUCCUGGGCCAUUGCUGGCACCUUGUUCACAGUCACUCUGGUGUCUGAGUGUCUUUCUUCACAGAGAGAGUGGGGAGAAAAUGAGACUUUGACCCUCUUCAACACUGGCAGCCCCCAUUCCAUCCCCCCCCCCUCCGCACAGCAUCCUAAUAAGGCACCUGAGCUCAACCCAUGCUAGCUCUUACUCUUCUCAGAGUACACACGGACAGUAUUGUUUCAUGCUGGGUAUCUAUUUACUUAUAUUCCCAGACCUUCCCCCAUUUCUUGUUAUCGAGCAAUGCUCCCUUGUAGUCGCCCUAGUUCUAACUCCUAUCAGCCACAGGACUGAGUAAAUAACUAACACCCAUUUGUCUCUUUAUUUUCUUCUACAGGGUAUCUUCAAGGGACCCAACCAUGGGGACUGAAGGCAGGAAUCCUUAUAGUACACUCAACAUUCUGCCCAGCACACAGCAAGUGCGCGAUAAUGUCAGUGGCACGUGUUAGUGGCGGAUCUGCCCUAUAACCGGCACAGACUUAAAAAACUCUAGUCUCACUAGGUUCAGGUUCAUUAGUCCCCUCUUCUGAACUCUAGUCAACCAUACACUGUGAAAGCACAAAGUUAGAGCAUCCAUCCAAAACUUAAAUGAGAAAACUGGUCAGAUUCUUGAGGUUUACUACAGAUGUCUUUUAAGACGGACAUCAACCCAUCACUUAGCUCAAGAUCACCAAGACACAUUUGUUCAAUGAGCUCAGAAGCUAUUUAAUCAACCUAAACAACACAACAAGAGUAUCAGCCACAAUGCUCCUAGUGGGUGAGAAUGGGCCUUGUGAACAGAGAGAUCUUCAUGCAGAAGGACUCCAGUACUUGGACUACGGAUGGAAAGAGUUGACUUUCAACCAAAUCAGUGACCAGGCACUGGAGGAUGAAGGCAGCAGGGGAGGAAGUCACAGAGAAUGCUCUGAGCUAGUCUACUCAUUCUUAGAUACGUCUACCUACAAAACUUACUGUGAGCAAUGCUCUAGUCUGGAUAUGAUGUGAAGUUAGAGAAGUCAAGCAAGACAAUGCAAACAUCUGUGUAGAAAUGCUUUUUACAGGAAACUGACACCAAGAACUGGAAACUGAAAGGGAAGAAAGAUGAAGAGAAACUGCUUCGUUAGUAAAGUAGGAAAUGUGAAAAUGAAAUGACUGUUUUAGACAGGGGAUACUUCUCUGUACCCUUAGUUUUUGGUAACUCAACACAGGGAAUUUUGUUGGCAGCAUCCUGUCUACUCAUUCUGGACCAUCUCAUGAGUUUCUGGCAAAGGGCUCCCGCCAAGCAAUCACAAAAAUGUUUCUUUGUUCCUCCAGAUUGCUAAGGAGCCUUCAAAUCAUUCUCUCAAGCACUUCCUCUCCACCUCAAGAAGAGCUAAGUAUAAUUCCCCGACAGAUUCCAUUCAGCUCAAUGAAGAGUUGGCUUUCAUACUGUGCAGUUAGCUGCUGUACACAGGUUGCUAAGUUGUUGCUGAGCAUAGUACACCUCUAUUAGUGUGAAGCAUAGGCCUCAUGGCCAACAUCUGGAAUGACCCUAGAGAGCCUUUGCGAUUGAAUGGAGAUGCUUAGUAUAUGAGCCAGCUGCAGGCCUGGGUGGAGGGUCAGGUAGCCUAAGACUGGGCUGUACCCUUUCCAGCGACAGGGUUACAGACACAAUUCCGCUCCUCUGAACCUCUGGUAUUUUCCUCUGAAAACUGAGAGAUUUCAAGGCAGAUAACAUCAAAGUUGUUUUCUGUCUUCUCACAUUCCACAUUUAGAAGCAACUAAAAUCAAACCUGUUAGUGUUUAAUGAGGGCACAGAAAACAGGUUAACACAGCGGGUCUCACAGAUGUGGAUCCUACGAGCAAAAGCUCAGCUUUUGCUGCGGCUGAAAGGAAUUAGAAGAAUAUUUUGGCUUCCAAAGUGGGCAAAGAUUUGGUUUGGAUUUCUCUCCAAAAAGACAGCAUGUCUCAGCAGUGGAAACGAUGCCAGUAGCCACAGGCUGGGUCAUUGCCUUCAGUGAGGUCCAGCAGGCACAACACAAAUUUCUUAAUUGCCAUCACUGUAACCUUUACUACACCUUGUUUUUCUUGGGGGCUCUCCUGGUCAGGUAAUCUGGGUUACAUCCAACAUAAUUUAUAAAAUUUGAGGCCUUUCCCAAUAUAGGUAAGAUUACACGCUAUUUUAGGAAACCUCUUGGGGGAUGAGGAAAUGUGUUGUUUUCCUUUUAAAUAUUAUACUGCGUAUCAAUUCCAAACGCUAACCAAGCUUUUAAAGAAAAACAUGAGUUCCCUAAAAAUAGCUCGUUUACAAUGCCUCACAGAUUUGGGUGCUUUCUGCACAGGGCAUAACUUGCUUAGCAUGCAAUUAGAAACAAAAUAACAUUUGUGGAUCAUAUCUACAAGGUUAAGAAAAACUAUAUGUAAAUGCCCUCCAAGGACUAAAGAAAUGGUAAUUAAUGUAAGCUGGUUUAUUAUUUUAAAGUUGUACUCUUGAAAAUGGAUCGAAUAAGUUUUAAUGUCAGAUUAAAAGAAAACUUUUGGUAAAUCAAGCAUAAAAAUCUAAAGACACAA